rnacentral:rRNA from 1 species
GACGAACGCUGGCGGCGUGCUUAACACAUGCAAGUCGAACGCUGAAGCUUGGUGCUUGCACUGGGUGGAUGAGUGGCGAACGGGUGAGUAAUAAGUGAGUAACCUGCCCUUGACUCUGGGAUAAGCCUGGGAACCUGGGUCUAAUACUGGAUACGGCAUGUCACCGCAUGGUGGUGUGUGGAAAGGGUUUUACUGGUUUUGGAUGGGCUCACGGCCUAUCAGCUUGUUGGUGGGGUAAUGGCUCACCAAGGCGACGACGGGUAGCCGGCCUGAGAGGGUGACCGGCCACACUGGGACUGAGACACGGCCCAGACUCCUACGGGAGGCAGCAGUGGGGAAUAUUGCACAAUGGGCGGAAGCCUGAUGCAGCGACGCCGCGUGAGGGAUGACGGCCUUCGGGUUGUAAACCUCUUUCAGCACGGAAGAAGCGAAAGUGACGGUACGUGCAGAAGAAGCGCCGGCUAACUACGUG